GACAACGCUAGCUACAGGCUUAACACAUGCAAGUCGAGGGGCAGCAUGGUCUUAGCUUGCUAAGGCUGAUGGCGACCGGCGCACGGGUGAGUAACACGUAUCCAACCUGCCGUCUACUCUUGGCCAGCCUUCUGAAAGGAAGAUUAAUCCAGGAUGGCAUCAUGAGUUCACAUGUCCGCAUGAUUAAAGGUAUUUUCCGGUAGACGAUGGGGAUGCGUUCCAUUAGAUAGUAGGCGGGGUAACGGCCCACCUAGUCAACGAUGGAUAGGGGUUCUGAGAGGAAGGUCCCCCACAUUGGAACUGAGACACGGUCCAAACUCCUACGGGAGGCAGCAGUGAGGAAUAUUGGUCAAUGGGCGAUGGCCUGAACCAGCCAAGUAGCGUGAAGGAUGACUGCCCUAUGGGUUGUAAACUUCUUUUAUAAAGGAAUAAAGUCGGGUAUGCAUACCCGUUUGCAUGUACUUUAUGAAUAAGGAUCGGCUAACUCCGUGCCAGCAGCCGCGGUAAU
rnacentral:rRNA from 1 species